ensembl:lncRNA
AUUGCAAAUAACAUGCAAUAAAGAGUAUGAAAACAUCACAUUCAGAUAUAUUCUUUUAUAUUUUAGAAAGGAAAAAAGGAAACUACAAUCUUCUACAAAUGAAUCAAAUAUGACUGUUAUGAGUCAGUAUGAGUACGCACAGAAUGCAACACAAUAAUAUGCAAAGAGUAACCCGGAUGCCACAUGAAAUCGACAGUUCAGGAGGCAAAACAGUUGGCCAUGCCACGUGGAAGACAAAGGGUCCCAGUCCAAUGUGAAGACACUAUUUCAGUUCAGUGUCAGGAUGACCAAUUCGGGUUGGAUGCUGAAGUGGUUUAUGAUGAAAAAUUCUUUCCCUUACGAAGGUGCAAUCCAUUUGUGACUGGGUCAUAUCACAGGGGACGAGUUCCUGGGCAGAAUCAGGAUACUGGCGUGUCUCCAGGAUUCAUAGCACCUGAUGGCAUGGGCGGCAAUGGCCAAGAGCUGAUGAACAGAGAUGAACGCUAUAAAAAAGAGAAGCGUGUGCAUCCAAAGGGAAAGAAGAAAAAGGUUAAGAGAGGCGAGAACACAGCUUCACCAUUAAAGAGGAAAAUCAUCCAGUCAGCAUCUGACAGUAACGAAAUGUGAUUUGAUUAAUAAGAUAAAUAACACCUAUUUUCUUGUUUAAAGUGAUAGUUCACCCAAAAAUUCUUUCAUUAAUUACUCACCCUCAUGUUGUUUCAAACCCGUAAGACCUUUGUUCACCUUUGGGACACAAACUAAGUUAUUUUUGAUGAAAUGCGAGAGCUGUCUGACCCUGAAUAGACAGCAACGGAACUAUCACGUUCAAGCCCAGAAAGGUAGUAAGAACAAUCAUUAAAAUAGUCCAUGCGGCAUCAGUGAUGGACAGCGUUGCUGUCUAUGCAGGGUCAGAAAGCUCUCGGAUUUUAUCGAUAGCUUAGUUUGUGUUCUGAAGAUGAAUGAAGGUCUUACAGGUUUGGAACGACACAAGGGUAAUUAAUUACAGAAUUUUCAUUUUUGGGUGAACUGUCCCUUUAACGUAGCAUACACACUGCUUUUCUAUAAGCUUAAGCAGCACUUAAAAGCUUUAUAAACUUUGAAUCUAUAACUCUAACUUUCUGUACUCUUUAAAUAAAUUCUUUCAAAAGGACA